rnacentral:rRNA from 1 species
GAUGAACGCUAGCUACAGGCUUAACACAUGCAAGUCGAGGGGAAACGAUAUUGGAAGCUUGCUUCCGAUAGGCGUCGACCGGCGCACGGGUGAGUAACGCGUAUCCAACCUGCCCAUCACUUGGGGAUAACCUUGCGAAAGUAAGACUAAUACCCAAUGACGUCUCUAGAAGACAUCUGAAGGAGAUUAAAGAUUUAUCGGUGAUGGAUGGGGAUGCGUCUGAUUAGCUUGUUGGCGGGGUAACGGCCCACCAAGGCGACGAUCAGUAGGGGUUCUGAGAGGAAGGCCCCCCACAUUGGAACUGAGACACGGUCCAAACUCCUACGGGAGGCAGCAGUGAGGAAUAUUGGUCAAUGGACGAGAGUCUGAACCAGCCAAGUAGCGUGCAGGAUGACGGCCCUAUGGGUUGUAAAACUGCUUUUUAUAAGGGAAUAAAAGUGAGUCUCGUGAGACUUUUUGCAUGUACCUUAUGAAUAAGGACCGGCUAAAUUCCGUGCCAGCAG